GGAGAGAUGUCCGAGCGGUUUAAGGAGCUGGUCUUGAAAACCAGUGACUCCCACAAGGAGCCGUGGGUUCGAAUCCCACUCUCUCCG
rnacentral:tRNA from 1 species